CUCCCAUGGAGGCUACCGCUAGAAAAGGCAUCAGACCUACUGUAUCAUCUACUACCUGCUGCUAAAAUGUAAAUUCAGUAAGAGGAAAGAGGUGAAAGAAGUUUCCAGACCCCUGCCCUAGAGAAUGGAGGGACGACAAGCUUUGGAAGCAGCCUGGGUGCCCGAAUGAGCACACUGAGCGGAGCUACACCAUUGCCAGGAGUGACAUAGGAGAGAGACAUUUCCUUUUUUAAGCCACUGUAUUAUUGGGUCUCCUAAUUACCAACAGCUUGGUGUUUUCCUAAACUAAGCCCAUCAGAAAAAUAUAUGUACAUGAGUAUUGCUAAGGAAAUAAUAGAAUUAACCAAAAUAUCCAAUCAACAGUAUCCUCACUCUACAAUAUGACUCUAUACCAUUUGGGGGAGUUUUUCUUCUCCAAAACAAAUAUUAUAGAUAAAAACAUUAUUUUACAAAUUAGAAUGAUAGUACAUUGUUGAAUUUUUACAAUAGAACCUUAAAGAGUGUCUCUUGG